rnacentral:rRNA from 1 species
GACGAACGCUGGCGGCGUGCUUAACACAUGCAAGUCGAACGGAAAGGCCCGGCUUUUGUGGGUUGCUCGAUUGGCGAACGGGUGAGUAACACGUGAGUAACCUGCCCUUAACUUUGUGAUAACUUCAGGAAACUGGGGCUAAUACCGGGUAGGAUCUCCUGCUGCAUGGUGUGGGUUGGAAAGUUUCGGCGGUUGGGGAUGGACUCGCGGCUUAUGAGCUUGUUGGUGGGGUAGUGGCUUACCAAGCUUUUGACGGGUAGCCGGCCUGAGAGGGUGACCAGCCACAUUGGGACUGAGAUACGGCACAGAAUCCUACGGGAGGCAGCAGUGGGGAAUAUUGCACAAUGGGCGGAAGCCUGAUGCAGCAACGCCGCGUGCGGGAUGCCGGCCUUCGGGUUGUAAACCGAUUUCGAAUGUGACGAAGCGUGAGUGACGGUAAUGGGUAAAGAAGCCACGGCUAACUACGUG